CCUACGGGAGGCAGCAGUGAGGAAUAUUGGUCAAUGGGAGAGAUCCUGAACCAGCCAAGCCGCGUGAGGGAAGACGGCCCUAUGGGUUGUAAACUUCUUUUGUCGGAGAACAAAACCCGGGACGUGUCCCGGACUUCGUGUAUCCGAAGAAAAAGCAUCGGCUAACUCCGUGUCAGCAGCCGCGGUAAUAGGGAGGAUGCGAGGGUUUUCCGGUUUUAUUGGGUUUAAGGGGUGCGUAGGCGGUCCGUUAUGUCAGCGGGAAAAUUGCGGGGCUCAACCCCGUCGAGCCGUUGAAACUGGCGGACUUGAGUUGGCGAGAAGUACGCGGAAUGCGCGGUGUAGCGGUGAAAUGCAUAGAUAUCGCGCAGAACUCCGAUUGCGAAGGCAGGGUACCGGCGCCAGACUGACGCUGAGGCACGAAAGCGUGGGGAUCGAACAGGAUUAGAUACCCUUGUAGUC
rnacentral:rRNA from 1 species